GCAGCGGGUAGCUCAGUUGGCAGAGCCAUUGGCACCAGCUUUCACACCUAUUUGUCCAUCUCUGGGCCGCUGUGAAAGGUUACCUCUUCAUCAAUAGGUCGCGGGUUCGACUCCCGCCCCGCUGCA
rnacentral:tRNA from 1 species